rnacentral:ncRNA from 1 species
AAAACUGUUAUUACGAAAAGUGGAAUGACGAGGUAACGCUUCGAAACGCUUUCGCUGAUACUCCGAAUAGCAUUUUAUUAGGUAAAUAAUAAAGUGUUAUAAGCUCGGUAAAGUCGGCUGAGAACCACCGUAAGUAGAUGAAAAAUAAUUCCUACACGAAAUGCGAACUAGAGGUAGUCGAGUGGUGAUAGGUCGGGCGUCUAUAAA